UUGUAUGCUAUUAGUCAUUGAUUUUGGGUCCUGCUGCGGUCCGAACAUUUUGGGAACCCCGGGUUCUGGUUACGGGGAACUCGUAAAAACUCACAGUUUUGGCCUAUUCCACCCAGUUUUGUAUGCUAUUAGUCACUGAUUUUGGGUCCCGUUGUGAUCGAAACGUUUCCGGACCCUCGGGGUCCGGUUAUGGGAACUCGUCAAAAACUCGCAGUUUUGGUGUAUUCUGGCUAGUUCUGUAUGCUAUUCCUCACUGAUUUUGGAUGCCGCUGCGAUCCGAACGUUUUGGGAACCCCGAGGUCUAGUUACGGGGAACUGGUCAAAACUUGCAGUUUUCGCCUAUUUUGGGCACAUUUGUAUGCUAUAAGUCACGGAUUUUGGGUCUUCCUGCAAUCCAAACGUUUUGGGAACCCCGGGGUCCAGUUACGCAUAACUCGUCAAAACUCACAGUUUUGGCCUAUUUCGGCCAGUUUUCUAUGCAAUUAGUCACUGAUUUUGGGUCCCGCUGUGAUCCGGAUGUUUUCGGAACAUCGGGGUCCGGUUAUAGGGAACUCGUCCAAACUCGCACGUUUGUCCUAUUCUGGCUAGUUCUGCAUGCUAUUGCUCACUGAUUUUGGAUCCCGCUGCGAUUCGAACGUUUUGGGAACGCCGGGGUCCGGUUACGGGAACUCAUCAAAACUCGCAGUUUUGGCCUACUCCAGCCAGUUUUGUAUGCUAUUAGUCACUGAUUUUGGG
rnacentral:lncRNA from 1 species